CCUACGGGUGGCAGCAGUGGGGAAUAUUGCACAAUGGGGGAAACCCUGAUGCAGCGACGCCGCGUGAAGGAAGAAGUAUUUCGGUAUGUAAACUUCUAUCAGCAGGGAAGAAAAUGACGGUACCUGAGUAAGAAGCCCCGGCUAACUACGUGCCAGCAGCCGCGGUAAUACGUAGGGGGCAAGCGUUAUCCGGAUUUACUGGGUGGAAAGGGAGCGUAGGCGGCUGUGCAAGUCAGGAGUGAAAGGCCGGGGCUCAACCCCGGGACUGCUUUUGAAACUGUACGGCUGGAGUGCAGGAGAGGUAAGUGGAAUUCCUAGUGUAGCGGUGAAAUGCGUAGAUAUUAGGAGGAACACCAGUGGCGAAGGCGACUUACUGGACUGUAAAUGACGCUGAGGCUCGAAAGCGUGGGGAGCAAACAGGAUUAGAUACCCGAGUAGUC
rnacentral:rRNA from 1 species